AGGACGAACGCUGGCGGUGCGCCUAACACAUGCAAGUCGAACGGUGAACCGGGCUUCGGCCCGGGGAUCAGUGGCGAACGGGUGCGUAACACGUGGGCAACCUGCCCCCGACCCUGGGAUAACCCCGGGAAACCGGAGCUAAUACCGGAUACUCUCCUCCGACCACAUGGUCAGAAGAGGAAAGGUCCGCCGGUCGGGGAUGGGCCCGCGGCCUAUCAGCUUGUUGGUGGGGUAACGGCCUACCAAGGCGACGACGGGUAGCUGGUCUGAGAGGACGACCAGCCACACUGGGACUGAGACACGGCCCAGACUCCUACGGGAGGCAGCAGUGGGGAAUCUUGCGCAAUGGGCGAAAGCCUGACGCAGCGACGCCGCGUGCGGGAAGAAGGCCUUCGGGUUGUAAACCGCUUUCAGGAGGGACGAAGCCACUCGGGUAAUACCCAGAGGUGACGGUACCUCCAGAAGAAGCCCGGCUAACUACGUGCCAGCAGCCGC
rnacentral:rRNA from 1 species